UACGUAGGGGGCAAGCGUUGUCCGGAUUUACUGGGCGUAAAGAGCGCGCAGGCGGUCGUUCAAGCCGCGUGUGAAAUCCCUCGGCUCAACCGAGGAACUGCGUCCGAUACUGGCAGGCUGGAAUCCGGGAGAGGGAUGUGGAAUUCCAGGUGUAGCGGUGAAAUGCGUAGAUAUCUGGAGGAACACCGGUGGCGAAGGCGGCAUCCUGGACCGGUAUUGACGCUGAGGCGCGAAAGCUAGGGGAGCAAACGGG
rnacentral:rRNA from 1 species